UAUGGCCGGAUCCGGCGUUCGCGCUGGCAAUCUCGAAACGUUUCUCAACGCAGGUGUUAAAGAGGUCCACAGCUCCGCUGGCGGAUGGAUCCCCUCCACAAUGCGCUACCGUAAUCCUGGAUUAUCCAUGUCGACGGACCCGAACGCGGACGAAUAUCAGCGUUACGCCGUUAACGGAGAAUCGGUGGCAGAGAUGAAAGCGAUCAUCACGCGUUUCAGCCAACAGAAUUAACGUUUUUUACCGCGCAUCAUGUCGCCCAUAUGAUGCUUGCUUGUACCAGGCCCCUGCAUUUACAGGGGCCUUUUUU
rnacentral:ncRNA from 1 species